rnacentral:rRNA from 1 species
GUAGGGCGCAAGCGUUAUCCGGAAUUAUUGGGCGUAAAGAGCUCGUAGGCGGUUUGUCGCGUCUGCCGUGAAAGUCCGGGGCUCAACUCCGGAUCUGCGGUGGGUACGGGCAGACUAGAGUGAUGUAGGGGAGACUGGAAUUCCUGGUGUAGCGGUGAAAUGCGCAGAUAUCAGGAGGAACACCGAUGGCGAAGGCAGGUCUCUGGGCAUUAACUGACGCUGAGGAGCGAAAGCAUGGGGAGCGAACAGGAUUAGAUACCCUGGUAGUCCAUGCCGUAAACGUUGGGCACUAGGUGUGGGGGACAUUCCACGUUUUCCGCGCCGUAGCUAACGCAUUAAGUGCCCCGCCUGGGGAGUACGGCCGCAAGGCUAAA